rnacentral:rRNA from 2 species
UACGUAGGGUGCGAGCGUUGUCCGGAAUUACUGGGCGUAAAGAGCUCGUAGGCGGUUUGUCACGUCGUCCGUGAAAACUCGGAGCUUAACUCCGAGCUUGCGGGCGAUACGGGCAGACUUGAGUACUACAGGGGAGACUGGAAUUCCUGGUGUAGCGGUGAAAUGCGCAGAUAUCAGGAGGAACACCGGUGGCGAAGGCGGGUCUCUGGGUAGUAACUGACGCUGAGGAGCGAAAGCAUGGGGAGCAAACAGG